AACGGAGGGUGCAAGCGUUGUUCGGCAUUACUGGGCGUAAAGCGCGUGCAGGUGGUCUUUUAAGUUCUAUGUGAAAUCCCCGGGCUCAACCUGGGAACUGCAUUUGUGACUGCAUCGCUGGAGUGCGGCAGAGGGGGAUGGAAUUCCGCGUGUAGCAGUGAAAUGCGUAGAUAUGCGGAGGAACACCGAUGGCGAAGGCAAUCCCCUGGGCCUGCACUGACGCUCAUGCACGAAAGCGUGGGGAGCAAACAGG
rnacentral:rRNA from 1 species